UACGAAGGGGGCUAGCGUUGCUCGGAAUCACUGGGCGUAAAGGGUGCGUAGGCGGGGCUUUAAGUCAGGGGUGAAAUCCUGGAGCUCAACUCCAGAACUGCCUUUGAUACUGAGGAUCUUGAGUUCGGGAGAGGUGAGUGGAACUGCGAGUGUAGAGGUGAAAUUCGUAGAUAUUCGCAAGAACACCAGUGGCGAAGGCGGCGAUCUGGGUCGAUACUGACGCUGAGGUGCGAAAGCGUGGGGAGCAAACAGG
rnacentral:rRNA from 1 species